GUUGGGUGAAACUGCAUAGGACUUCAUGUAGGAGUUUCGUGGUGAUUCGGCGUAGCGCAAAUGUAUAAAAUAAGUACAACCGUGGUUUAACUUCCUCCUUGUUAUCAACACCACACAUGUGGUAUGGUAAGCUUAUUGACCUACCCUGGCAGCUUUCCAGGUCAGAGACAGUUGAAACCUGAUAAAACCUGAGUGAUACACAGGACCACGGUAAUAACAGUGUCUUUUGUGACGCCAUUAACACCCUCAACACACACGAUGAAAAAGUGAAAAAGUAUGUCAUGCACGUGCAGUACCUGCGAGAAGGUUGAAAGCCAGUACGUAAAGACACAGGAAAGGGCGCCAAAUUUGUUCGUUGAUCACAUUGACAUAUGCGAUUUAAAAGGCAAACGGAAGCAUAAAACGCAAAAGCAGUUAAGACUGAGAGAAAUAGAAAUCCAGGUGUCUGCCCUCAGAAAUACAGCAGGGGGCAACAUUAUUCUUCAUGUCAAUGGGACAGCUUGUGCUGAUCGUUUCCUUGGAUGCGUUGAUGAGUUCCUGGAAGAAAGUUUGAAUAAUUUCAUAUGUGAUGGAACCUUGUUUGUUGACACAUACACACGGAGAUGGCUAAGUGAAAUAGGCACAUUUGAGAAAUUCACAGAUUGCAUCCUCAUAUCGGUUGAGAAAACAAAAGGAGUUGCUACUGUGGAUUUUAAAACUAAAAUUUGCUCGGACUUAAAAGUCGAAAGGCCAUCAACUCUUAACAUCGUGUCUAUCUUGUGUCACAGGAAGAGUUCCUCCGAAAAAGCAGCAACAUUAAGAGGCCUGCCACCAAAUCCACAAGAAUGUCGAACCAUCCAGCUCAAAACAUAUCGACCUAAAGACCAAGAAAAAAGCAACAUUGAAAGUCACCCAGAUAAAUUUGCUUUUUAUGUUUGGGACAAACUUCGCUUCCGGGAAUACCUCAGCUGUAUGACCAAAGAUGAAGACGGAGGGUCCUUUUAUUUAGGAAUUACAGAAAAAGAAACGGAAUAUCAGAGUGCAUCACCGGGGAGCCCACGGACCUACAGAAGUUUGGUUCCAGAGAUUGAGGGAUUUGUAUUGCCCUGUAGUGAAGAUGAAAUAAAGAACAGUCUUCUGCGUUUGAUUCAAUCUCAUGUCAGGAUACUACACGUUGAUACUGCCCUCAAAAACUUGUCACCAGAUCUUGUAAAAUUUGAAUUUCAUCGUUUGCAACGAAGUACUUCUGGAAGCAACAGGUAUGUUCUGGAGAUUGCAGUUGGUUAUACGAGCGGGAUAGUGUUCUAUGACGAAAAAGGUCCAGUGGCGUAUCACUUAAUAGAAGGGGAAGUUGAAAGAAUUAGCCCGGACGACUGGUUAAGCAGAGUAACAAAAACCUUUGAUGAUCUCAAAGGUGAUUCAUCUCCAUAGUAAGCAAGAACCUUGUGAAGUUAAGAAGCUUGCCAUCAAAUCCACUAGAAAGUCGAAACAUCCAGCUCAGUAUCGAUCUAAAGACCAAGACAAAAACAGGAAAACUAAAGCAGAAUCUUAAUUUAGUCUUGGUCAGAAUCAAUAUGGAAAUGACAUCAAGUUCAGAUGCGACUCGUUCGAGUCUCUCAGACGGCACCUUAGACAACCUUCAUAAAGGAAUGGUUUGUGCCUACAAUAAAAAACGUGACGAUAGCAGUGAUAGCAAUGAUGAAACACUGGACAACCCAAACAACAAGCCCAUACAAGCAGGAUCCGAUGAUUAUUUUGAAGAAUCGGCCACCAUCACCAGACGCAGAAAACGUCUAGUCCCAGAGGAACUAGUUCGUGCUGAGCCCCAGCAGCUACCUUCCAGUUAUGAUCAGAAGGAUCUGAUGAGUAUUUUGAUGAAUAUUCAAACACAACAAGACACGCUGCUGAAGGAGAUAAGGGAGAUCAAAGACACACAGAGGGAGAUUCAACGAGAUUUGGUGAGACUGAAAGGCAGCAGCAGUGAUGGUGACCUCAGUGUAUCGGGUCUUAACUAUGACAGACGUGCCCGAUAUUCAAUUCGUCCCAUGAGUAUAGUACAUACGGGAAUUCAAGAAAUGCCGAAUUCUGAAUCAUCAUAUGGAGAAACAAAUGAAGAGGACUGUAAUAUUAGGCUUUAAGAAUGUUAUUAUUUUGUAAUCACUGCACAACACGAAGUUUCGUGUGUACUGAUGGAUGUAAUGUUGUGCAGUCGACGAUCAGACAAACGAGAGACAUCUUGAAAGGCACAGGGUUUUGUCUCAAGCGUCAAAUGAAAUAACUCCUGUUUCUAAAGUUUGUGAAUGAGAAUAGCGUGGGGACGUUCUUAAUACAUGACGUCACGCAACGAAAUUACAAUACACUGACGUCAUAGCACUGAACAACAUCAAUAACAUAUCACUGCGCGUCGAAAUGGAGCAAAACAUGUCAUUUUCAUCACACAUUUGUACCGAUAUUCUACAUAUUACACACACAAUGAAGCAUUACGUCCAACUUUUUGUCACUUUUAUGAGGGUGAGUUAAUUACCAAUAUGCCUAGGGAGUAUAAGUUUAGUGUCCAACGGCUGUGAAUAUCCAAAUGUAUUUCUUCAGGACAAAUAUAUCGCUUCAGAUUUGUAAAAUGCCAAUCUUAUACCACGUACAAUAUGCUUGUGCACACAGGAGGACAGCCAUUACUAAUAUAAGGAUUCCUUGAGAGUUUAUUUACAAAGGUCCUCGCUGUAAUGUAUUCACUGCACUGUUUACCAUAUGUGUUUCCCAUACCUUCUUGUUAUUACGAAUAAUAUUUUUAUGAGAAUCUGUGCUGCAUAUCUUCCUAGAAGUGAAUAUAUACUCUUCAAAAAAAGAAACUUGACAUGCUGUUUUGGAGUUUACUUACUGAGUGCAUAUAACUGAUUCAAACAUGACAUCAUCGCUCAGAUACAGUAAAAUCAUCCCUUUACAAAUUUCCAAAACAUGAUUAUCCAGAAAGUGUUUGGUAAAACCACAGAGGGCUACUAAAGCCACUUGGUCAGAGUAAAAUGUCAUUAUCUGGUGUGACCACCAUGAGCAUCGAUAACAGCUUGGCAGCGGUGAC